ACAGUAGGGAAUUUUCGUCAAUGGGCGCAAGCCUGAACGAGCAAUGCCGCGUGAGUGAGGAAGGUCUUCGGAUCGUAAAGCUCUGUUGCGGGGGAAAAAGGAAGCAGAAAGGAAAUGGUCUGCUUUUGAUGGUACCCCGCCAGAAAGUCACGGCUAACUACGUGCC
rnacentral:rRNA from 1 species